CUCCCGAUUGCGCUCUUUCUCUCUCCCCGCUACUCUCGUCAACAACGACAGCAAAAUCGACAACGGCGGUGGAAACGAACAACUCGACGACAGCACCAAAAUCCUUUGGGUUUUCCGGUUUCGGGACAGAUCUGUGAGGCUAGGAGUGGGCAAGACAAAAUAAUCUGAUUGGCUUGUGUUGAAGACUUUGUAUGCAUCUACAAUAUGGACAGUUCAAAUUUGUCGUUGGGCAGUUCAAAUUUAUAGUUGUAUGUCCAGGAUAGGACCAAAAAGUAAUGAAGUAGGAUAUGGAGGGGAGCUGAACCCCAAGGAGUCUCAGGGGGAAAAAACAGAUAACCACCAGGCAAUGCACCUUUGGUAAUAGCACAUGGAGGCUUUUCAAGGCUGUUUCCCGACUCCAGUGAAGCUGCCUACCAGAUCAUCGGACAAGUUAGUUUAGCCAAUGUGAUCUUUUGGUGUGAUGUGCAACUCACAAAAGAUGCAGCUGGCGUUUGUGCUCCAAAUCUCAACCUUGCGAAUAAUACUGACAUCUCAAGUAUUUUCCCAAACCAGAGCAAUACGUACUCAGUAAAUGGGGUAUCUAUACAGGGAUGGUUUUCUGUGGAUUUCACUCAAGGAACUUGCAAGUGUAAAUUGUAAGUGUGGAUCUUUGCUUGUAUCUCUAAUAAGUUUCAUGAAGUUGAAGUACCUAAUAUAAAUGACAUUCUUUCUGCUCUUGACUGUAUUUUUUAACAUAAGGGAUGACCUGUAGUAUUGUAUAACAGUGAUAGAACUCUGUGUAAGCACAACCCUUAACCCUUCAUAUACCCUGUGUAGUACAAAUAUGUUAAUCAGCAUUGUGAAUAAUUUGAGGCAAUUGAAAUAAUUCUAUAAUAACAUCACCCGUUCUCCAUGUGACUGCCGUUAGUUUCCUCAUGUAGAUACCAACUUUGAUUUACCAUUACCUUAUUGUGGCAGGGAAUCUCUACUCUUGGCCCCUGAUGGAAGACUUACCAGUUCUCUAACAAAGGCGACGCAAGGAGGAGCAGGAGGAGGAGAAGAGUCAACUGGAGGAAGAGCAAAAGCAACGUGAGGAGGAACAAAGGCGACUUGUGAGGAGG